rnacentral:rRNA from 1 species
AUGUACAUGCCUACAUCGUUAAUGCACUGUAUCCCACCAUAAAUUCACAGUUAAGCGUGAUUGAGUGCUAGAGUAGUACUGGGAUGGGUGACCUCCUAGGAAGUCCUAGUGUUUUACAUG